UACGAACCGUCCAAACGUUACUCGGAAUCACUGGGCUUAAAGGGUGCGUAGGCCGCGCGGAGGGUGGGAUGUGAAAUCCCCCGGCUCAACCGGGGAAUAGCGUCCCAAACCGCCGUGCUCGAGGGAGACAGAGGUGAGCGGAACUGAUGGUGGAGCGGUGAAAUGCGUUGAUAUCAUCAGGAACACCAGUGGCGAAAGCGGCUCACUGGGUCUUUCCUAACG
rnacentral:rRNA from 1 species